rnacentral:rRNA from 1 species
UCCGGUGAUAUUGUCGGCAGGGUCACACCCGUUCCCAUCUCGAACACGGAAGUUAAGCCUGCUAGAGCCGAUGAUACUGCAUCUUUCAGGUGUGGGAAAGUAGGAAGUCGCCGGAU